rnacentral:rRNA from 1 species
AGAACGAACGCUGGCGGCGGCCUAACACAUGCAAGUCGAACGCUCGUAGCAAUACGAGAGUGGCAGACGGGUGAGUAACACGUGGGAACCUUCCCUAUGGUUCGGAAUAGCUCAGGGAAACUUGGGGUAAUACCGGAUAAGCCCUUCGGGGGAAAGAUUUAUCGCCAUUGGAUGGGCCCGCGUAGGAUUAGCUAGUUGGUGAGGUAACGGCUCACCAAGGCGACAUCCUUAGCUGGUCUGAGAGGAUGAUCAGCCACACUGGGACUGAGACACGGCCCAGACUCCUACGGGAGGCAGCAGUGGGGAAUAUUGGGACAAUGGGCGCAAGCCUGAUCCAGCCAUGCCGCGUGAGUGACGAAGGUCUUCGGAUUGUAAACUCUUUUGGCGGGACGAUAAUGGACGGUACCCGCAGAAUAACGCCCCGGUCUAACCUUCGUCGCCAGCAGCCGC